rnacentral:rRNA from 1 species
CGGCCACCAAGGCAACGAUCAGUAGGGGUUCUGAGAGGAAGGUCCCCCACAUUGGAACUGAGACACGGUCCAAACUCCUACGGGAGGCAGCAGUGAGGAAUAUUGGUCAAUGGGCGAGAGCCUGAACCAGCCAAGUAGCGUGCAGGAAGACGGCCCUAUGGGUUGUAAACUGCUUUUAUAAGGGAAUAAAGUGAGUCUCGUGAGACUUUUUGCAUGUACCUUAUGAAUAAGGACCGGCUAAUUCCGUGCCAGCAGCCGCGGUAAUACGGAGGGUCCGGGCGUUAUCCGGAUUUAUUGGGUUUAAAGGGAGCGUAGGCCGGAUAUUAAGCGUGUUGUGAAAUGUAGACGCUCAACGUCUGCACUGCAGCGCGAACUGGUUUCCUUGAGUACGCACAAAGUGGGCGGAAUUCGUGGUGUAGCGGUGAAAUGCUUAGAUAUCACGAAGAACUCCGAUUGCGAAGGCAGCUCGCUGGAGCGCAACUGACGCUGAAGCUCGAAAGUGCGGGUAUCGAACAGGAUUAGAUACCCUGGUAGUCCGCACGGUAAACGAUGGAUGCCCGCUGUUGGUCUGAACAGGUCAGCGGCCAAGCGAAAGCAUUAAGCAUCCCACCUGGGGAGUACGCCGGCAACGGUGAAACUCAAAGGAAUUGACGGGGGCCCGCACAAGCGGAGGAACAUGUGGUUUAAUUCGAUGAUACGCGAGGAACCUUACCCGGGCUUGAAUUGCAGAGGAAGGAUUUGGAGACAAUGACGCCCUUCGGGGUCUCUGUGAAGGUGCUGCAUGGUUGUCGUCAGCUCGUGCCGUGAGGUGUCGGCUUAAGUGCCAUAACGAGCGCAACCCCUCUCCUUAGUUGCCUUCAGGUUAAGCUGGGCACUCUGGGGACACUGCCACCGUAAGGUGUGAGGAAGGUGGGGAUGACGUCAAAUCAGCACGGCCCUUACGUCCGGGGCUACACACGUGUUACAAUGGCAGGUACAGAGAGACGGUUGUACGUAAGUACGAUCAAAUCCUUAAAGCCUGUCUCAGUUCGGACUGGGGUCUGCAACCCGACCCCACGAAGCUGGAUUCGCUAGUAAUCGCGCAUCAGCCAUGGCGCGGUGAAUACGUUCCCGGGCCUUGUACACACCGCCCGUCAAGCCAUGAAAGCCGGGGGCGCCUAAAGUCCGUGACCGUAAGGAGCGUCCUAGGGCGAAACUGGUAAUUGGGGCUAAGUCGUAACAAGGUA